UGCCCAGUAUUAUCUAUUCUUUGUAUUUUAACACACCAUCAUUUUCUUUUAUUAUCAGUCUUUUCUUAAUCUUUAAUUUCUCAGCCUUUAAAUAUUGCACUUUUGCUUAAUAAGGGAUUAUUACAUGAUUGGUGUAUCUAUUCUGUAAACACCAUCCAGACCCUCAGUUUAGGUGAAUAUAUUUAAGUUAUCUGGUGUAUUAAG
rnacentral:lncRNA from 1 species